rnacentral:rRNA from 1 species
AUUGAACGCUGGCGGAAGGCUUAACACAUGCACGUCGAGCGAUCGGCGGACGGGUGAGUAAUGUCUGGAAAACUGUCUGAUGGAGGGGGAUAACUACUGGAAACGGUAGCUAAUACCGCAUACCAUGAGAUGAUCCCAGAUGGGAUUAGCUAGUAGGUGGGGUAUUGGCUCCACUAGGCGACGAUCCCUAGCUGGUCUGAGAGGAUGACCAGCCACACUGGAACUGAGACACGGUCCAGACUCCUACGGUAGGCAGCAGUGGGGAAUAUUGCACAAUGGGCGCAAGCCUGAUGCAGCCAUGCCGCGUGUGUGAAGAAGGCCUUCGUGUUGUAAAGCACUUUCAGCGAGGAGGCGUUACUCGCAGAAGAAGCACCGGCUAACUCCGUGCCAGCAGCCGCGGUAAUAC